CGUGGGCCUCCGGCGGCCAUGCCCACGCCUCCCGCCUCCUGUUGGCAGCCGCCUCGCGGCUCAUGGCUGCGGCUGCCCUGGCUCCAAUCAAGGGUGGAUUUGCUGGAGGCUGCCUCUUGCAGAGCAGUCAGCAGCCUCCGCGCCUCCACUCGCAGUCCUCUCGCAGGACUCUGCUGUCACACGCACUGGCAAGGUCUCAGUGGCUCGUGCUCCCACAGGAAGACGUUCGCACCUCGAGAGUCGCCAGCAAGACUCAGCGCGGGCUGGGCCCGCUGGGGAUGGGUAGGAACGCGGCCCACUGUGAGGUCACGGGGUGACUGUGACUCUCCGGUGCCAUCACGAAGCACACAGAUAGGUGGAGGUUUGCUGCCCCGUGGCUAUUGCGUCAGUAUUUGGGGCAUUUGCCUGCCAGAGUGCACCCGAGGACUUUCACUGGGACGUUUUCCCAAGCAGUGACAAAUAAAGGAUUUCUUGAAGCAAGCAGUAGAGCAGCUUUGGUGUUGCCGUUGAUCAGUGCAGUAGCUGUGACCGUGCCGGCAUUUGAUAGUAGUGCUAGCAAAGUAAAUGCUGUGCUGGGUAUUUUUCAGCAAGCAGUGAAGGGGCAGUGCUUGCCAAGAAGGGAUCCCCGUCCUGGUCCUGGUGGGGAAAGAGCAGCACAGCUUCUCCGUUUCUCUUGCCUCCUUCGUGUCUCUUCCCGCCCCUCCUCUGCACCCUCCGGGACUUACCCCGACAUCCUAACCUUAUCUGUUCCCUUUCCGGGUGACUUCUACCAUGUCUUGGGUGGAGAGUCAUGAGCAUCAGUCCUGUGUUUCUAGCACGUCCUUAUUGGAGUGUGUUCUCCUGCUGAGGGCUGUGAACUUUAAUAUCCCUCUGGAUGGCUGCUGUCAACGGUUUAAGGGCUGGUCCGGCCCGGUUCUGCGACUAGUGGGGCGGAGGGAUUUCGCAAAAUCCGCGCCUCCAGGAAGGGAAACAGGGGACCCCAAAAUAAUUAAAAACAGCGGCAACGAUCUGAGGAGAAACAAACUAAUUUACUAAAUAUAGUAUCGGAAUGUAAGAUAACACACUAUAAUACAGUAUAAAUCAACAAUAAUUGAGAGAAAGAUUGUCCGAGAGCCAAAGGCCUUACGCUAGUACUGAAGCCUUGCGCGCAGUCGGGAGCAGC
ensembl:lncRNA